rnacentral:lncRNA from 1 species
CGGAGGUUGGGGCGCUGGCCCCACUGCACAGUAGAAAAUCCACUAUAACUUUGACUCCCCCAAAACUUAACUACUAAUAGCCUACUGUAAGCCUUACAAAUAACACAGUCAAUUAACACAUAUUUAAUAUGUUAUAUGUCUUAUAUACUGUAUUCUUAACAAACAUGCCAGAGAAAAGAAAAAGAAAAUCAUAAGGAAAAUAUAUUUACUAGUUAUUAAAUGGAAGUAGAUGAUCAGACAGGUCUUCAUCCUCAUCCUUUUCAUGGGCAGGGUGUGGAGAAAGAUGUAGAAUUGUUGGUUUUGCUAAGUGGACCUGCACAGUUCAAACCCCUGUGGUGCAAAGGCCACCUGUAUAGCCAUUGAAUAGCAAUUUAUUUUUAGAAAUUAACCUCACUAAAAUACUCUUAGAAGGAUGCCAAGAAAAAAAACGAAUAAGUAUUUUUGGUUCAUCUAUUUCAUCAUUUCAUUUCAUCAUUUCAUUUCAUUUCCUCAUUUCAUCAUUUCAUUCUUUUAUUUCAUCAUUUCAUCUCAUUUCACCUCAUCAUUUCAUCAUUUCAUUUCAUCAUUUCAUCACAUUUCAUUUCAUCAUUUCACUUCAUCUCAUUUAUUCAUUUCAUCUCAUGAUUUCAUUUCAUCUCAUGAUUUCAUCUCAUUUCAUCUUUUCAUCUCGUCAUUUCAUCUUUUCAUCUCGUCAUUUCAUUUCAUCAUUUCAUUUCAUCUUUUCAUCUCAUUGCAUUUCAUUUCAUCAUUUCAUCAAUUCAUUUCAUUUAUUUCAUCAUUUCAUUUCACCACUUCAUCAUUUCAUCAUUUGACUUCAUUUUAUCAUUUCAUAUCAUCAUUUCAUCACUUCAUCUUUUCAUCAUUUCACUUCAUAAUUUCAUCAUUUCAUUUCCUCAUUUCCUCAUUUCAUUUCAUCCUUUCAUCAUUUCAUCUCAUCAUUUCAUCCUUUCAUUUCAUUACAUCAUUUCAUCUCAUCGUUUGCAUUUCGUCACUUCAUCAUUUCAUUUCAUCAUUUCACUUCAUCUCAUCAUUUCAUCUCAUGAUUUCAUUUCAUCUCAUUUCAUCUUUUCAUCUCAUCAUUUCAUCAAUUCAUCAUUUCAUCAUUUCAUUCAUCAUUUCACUUCAUUUCAUUUCCUCAUUUCAUUCCACUUCAUCAUUUCAUUUCAUUUCUUCAUUUCAUCAUUUCAUUUCAUUUCAUCAUUUCAUCAUUUCAUUUCAUUUCAGUGAUACAUGUAUUUAAGUGCUAAUGCGAUGCCCAGGAGACACCCUAUUUCCCUUUGUAAAACACCUCCUUCAACAAAAGGCAACCUCUCAUGUCUGGCUAAGUCUACAGGGAUACCAGCCUCUCUUCAACCACCCAAUUUGAUUUAGAACCUCAAACAGCACCUCAGUUUCAUAAAAAC